rnacentral:rRNA from 1 species
UACGUAGGUGGCAAGCGUUGUCCGGAUUUAUUGGGUUUAAAGGGUGCGUAGGCGGCUUAUUAAGUCAGUGGUGAAAUACUCUAGCUCAACUAGAGGGGUGCCAUUGAUACUGAUGAGCUUGAGUACAGAUGAGGUAGGCGGAAUUGACGGUGUAGCAGUGAAAUGCUUAGAUAUCGUCAAGAACACCUAUAGCGAAGGCAGCUUACUAGGCUGUAACUGACGCUGAGGCACGAAAGUGUGGGGAUCAAACAGG